rnacentral:lncRNA from 1 species
UCUCUCUGUCGCCGUCGCCGUUCUGCCGCCGCCGGACACGUCGUGAGCUCUCUCUCUCCUGUGUGCACCUUCUCGAUCUCCUUCUCCCGGAUAAUUGCACCCUCCAUUUGCCGUUCUCAUCCAUGUGUUCUGUUCGAUAGGGCUCCCCUAUUCGACCAUUCGUUUCUGUGCCUAUCGUAUCGAGGUUUCGCUCGUGCAGUUACAACAAGGAUUGCACGGAUUUUGCUGCGAAUGGUGCACGGCCGGAGGAUAUUACGAUACAAUCGCAAGGUGAAGUGCCUUCUACACUUGGCAAUUUCGCACCCUUAACGGUUGUUUGUUGCGUUUUGAUCUCCACAAAUCCGGUAAUAUAGCGGAAUGACGCCCUUUUGCUAUCAGUAGCAUAGCAGAGCAGGAAUUUGUUUGUGCAUGUUUGGAAUUUUGUCUGCAUUGAUGAUGUGGGUAGCGCCGAAUCCUUCUGACGUUUACAGUUUGAUACGGCGUCUUGGUUUAUCUGAAGGAUAAGGUGGAUUGGACUCUCUUGACGGUAACAAUCCGGUCAAUUAGAAGUAACUUCACAUGAAUGACUUUAUAUUUUAGUCUCACUCUCACAUCAACUUACCUUUAAUUUGACGUGGAUUGGACUGACACAUCACCAACCGGGAGAAGAAGACUAGUGAGACUUAGUCUUUUUUUUUCCUUCCUUUUUUAUUCUGAGCCAACAAUAUAGCCUGGAAAAAGCACAUUGAUUCAGAUGAGACGUUAUAAGAUCUGGUAUUAUGGAAAUUUCCUUGACGUACGAGUUUUACAGGACGAUCUUCGUUGUUAAAGGUUGUCUCUUAUCACUAUCAGCUAUCAAAGGUGUGCGGAAAGUGGUGAUGAUAACAGAGGGACACAAAAGAGCUUUACUAAAACCAAACACAGAUGUUCUCUCUCAAUCAUCUGCAUUUCGUAUUGUCCAUAUUUGAAGUAAGGUAACGCCAAGUGGUGGGCAUAUUAUCGAUCAAAUGUUCAGAAGCACAUGAAUUCAAUAGAUAUUGAUAUAUGUAUAAUCUGAAGAAAAUGAAAGGAAAGCUCCGUAUUAUAGCAGAUACUAGAUGGUGGUUCAGACACUUUUUUGGAGUCUUUGGUUGAAAUGGUAAAUAGUAUGUACAACUCAACUGUGCUUUGAACUGGGAAAACAAUUUCUUGUUUUUUUUCAAGUCGGUAUAUUCGUCGAGCUACACGCCUAACAAGUGCUACAUGUAUCCUCCUCAUUCUUUGUACCAGAAACGAGAUGCCUUUGUCAGAGAAUGAACUUGAAAUCGGCUUCUUGAAUAAUUGCAGCACGGCUGUUCAGAGAGUUGGUGGACAUGUGCAUCAUGUUGCAAGCUGGUAAGAUUGUACAAAUAGUUACUGCUGAAAAUUCGAUCAGGCCAGGUUAUUUAAAUCCAUAGUCUCUACCUAGUGGUGGUGGCAGAAUCCUUGAUCCUAUCACGGUUGCAAAGUGACUAGUAAUGUGGCAUUGGGGGUCUGGGUUAGAAUUUCUGGCUUCGGGAAGGCACCGUGGUGGUGUGGGUGCAGAGUGGCGGCAUGUCAGUGAGCGAGGGAGGGAGAGAAUGUGUAAGGGCCAUUGAGGCCAGGCAAGAUGUUUGCCUUGCUUGCUUUAAAACGGUUACAUAACCCUUACAGAUUUGGACUCUUAGGCCCUGUUUGGGAAAAAAGUUUUUGAAAACCACAGUUUUUGAAAUACUACAGUAUACUUUAGUCAUGACAAUACCGUAGUUUACAAUACCACAAUUUUGGAAACUGAGGUCUAGACCUAAGUUUAGAAUACCUUAAAACAACUAUAGUAUUUGCAAUACUUCAGUUUUGAAAACAGAGAUUUUAGCCAGCUUGCCAAACACCAUUAUGUAUAUAAUACUGCAGUAUUUGAGAAUACUGCAGUAUUCUUCCAAAACUAUGAAAAAACUUCACUCCCAAACACCCCCUUAUUUUCUAACAAAUCGAUCCUAUUUCCUAAACCAACUCAAUCUCAAGCAAACUAGAGAAGAAAUCCUUAUAGAUUUGGACCCACCUUUUCUAACAAACCAAUCCUAUUUUCUAAACCAACGCAAUCUCUGGUUCUAAGAAAUCUCUAUUUUAACUACUCCGACUCAUGCGCUACAGGGCUACUGCACGUGCUAUAGUACUGGAGGUACGGUUCACACCGGGUCUAAUUUGGGCGCAACACCUACGUGGCCCAUUUUUCGACGCACACAAAAGAUACCGGUUAUAACAUGUGGACCAACCGUUGAAGCUUAUUGCCCUAACAUUGAUGUUCAUCUUGUUACAUAUCCACAUCUAAUGUACUAUGAACCCGAAUUUUUUGUUUUUUAGCCCCUUUUGUGACACAAAUUUACGUUUGGACCCCCAGAAAUUUUAUUUGCACGUUUGGACCCGAUGCUCGGCGCCAUAGGCUGUGGCGCCGAGGUAACACCUAGCCUGGAGGGGGCUAUUAGAAGAGCUGAAGAAGAAAUUAUUAUUUGGAAGUUUGCGGGGGCCAAGCAUCUUGCCCUAAUUACAGCUCCCAUUCCAGGUGUCAUGUAGGGCUCUAGUAGAGAGUCCAGUAGGCCUUGUUUAUUUUCUUUCUUCUUUUUCUUCUUUAUUUCUUUUUUUUUCUGUUGUGUUUGUAUUUGGUCUAAUUUUAGACCCUUCUUCUUAAUUCAAUGAUACGCAGCUCUCCUGCGUGUUCGAAAAAAAAGGUAACACAGCUCGGCGCCACAGCCUAUGGCGCCGAGCUCUGACGUGGCCAUGGCGGGCAGGGGUGACGUGGAAGUCCGCGUGACACCUAGCUCGGCGCCACAGAUCUUGGCGCCGAGCUAGGAAUUAACCGCGAGCCCCUUUUCUCUGCGUUUCUUCUCUGUUACUUUUCACGUUUAGCCGCCGCCGCCGUUCCCGAGUUAGGAAAUAGCCGCCGCCGUUCCCGAGCUCCGCCCACCCCGCCCGCCGAGCUCCGGCGACCGCGCUCGGUGUCCGCCCGACCGCCGAGCUCGCCCGCCCCGCCCGCCGAGCUCGCCAGUGCCGGCCGCCGCGCGCACGGCACCGGCCGCCGAGCUCGCUCGCCACCGCGCCCGCUCGCCACCGCGCCAGCUCCCGCCCCGGCCCGGCCACCGCGCCAUCUCCCGCCCCGGCCGCCGCGCGCCCCCGGCCCGUCCACUGCCGCCAGGUAAUUUUUUUAAUUACUUAGUUAGUAAACUGUUAGCUAUUGUUAGUGUUUAGUAAUUAGUUAGCUAUCCACUUAUUUAUUGUUUAGUAAAUAGUUAGAUAUUUUCUUGUUAGUGUUUAUUAAAAUAGUUAGCUAGUUUCUUGCUUAGCAUAUUGUUAGUGUUUAGUAAAUUCUUAGUGAUUAUAUAGUUAGCAUUUUGUUUAGCGCAUUGAUAUUACAUGUUUUCUGUGUUGGCAACCAUCGUGUUGUCGUUUAUUCGCAGGUUCUAUAAACAUCACUUUACAGGGGAGGUGCUCCCAAAUUUUUUAUUGACAAUAGUUUUUUUGUGCGUAGGUGUUCGUCCGACUUGACCUUCUCCACCGUUAGCUGGACUCAUACGCGAUCUCAGGUAUACAUUGUUUUCGUACAUUAUUCAUAGAUUAUGUAAUUUCGUUUGAUGUGUUCAUUUAAUAUUUACUAUAUAGUUAUUAGUUAAUAUAUAUUUAUUACUUAGUAAGUUUGUAGGCUUAAGUAUAUAGCCAUUAUUGAGUUAGUAAUCCAUUUUUGCAAUAGAUGGACAACCUAGUAACACUAUACCAUGGAGGAAGGGUGGAGAUAGAUGGUUAUGGGAAUGUUACUUUUGAUGGUAUGAAGAUCGUGAGGAGAUUAGUUGCGACAUAAACGACCCUAGAAUAUCAAUUCAGGGUUUGUUGUCCCAUAUUACAUAUGGAACAGUUGUCCGACGGUUGAUCUCCAUUACCUCAGAAGAUGAUUGGGUGAUAUAUUUAAGAAUUGUGAAGACGAUGGUUCCACCAUGUUUGGAUGUGGUUGUUCAAAAGUUACCUGUUAGUCAUUGCGAUGGUCCGGUCGGGUUGUCUCCACAAAUGCCAAAUGCAUCUCGUAUUGAAGCUCCUUUGGUAGAGCUUCAUGAAGAAGUGGUUGUUGUGCCCGAUGCUCAAUCGGGGCCGCACGAGUAUGGGAUUUCUCGUCCUCUUCCUGACGUUUGUGGGGCUUCUAAUCCGGUGGUACCCCCCCAAGAGAUCCCAUUGACCCAGGAUCCAGUUCACGAUCAUCCUAGUAAGUGUCUUUGACACGUUGUUCGUAUCCAUCGUUAUUUCGUUUGAUUAGACUUUUUAAUGUGGUUUUUCUUGCUUCGACCCGAUGCAGGAUCUCCACAUAUCGAUAAUGGUGCUUAUCUUGAUGUGCCUGUGUCAUAUAAUAUGGACAACAUAUGCAGGGCAUCCAAUAGUGUUGAUGUUCAGAUUGAGGAUGAGAAGGAGCCAUAUGAGGCUGCACGGGCCUUAGAUUCUGAUGAUGACCGUCCAGUUCAAGAAAUGACCGAGCAAGAAAUUGAACUCAUAAGACGUUUGUGUCCGGAGCGUGACCCUGCAGUACAUGAAUUUAGCAGUCUAAGUCAUUCCACCCGUGCAUAUGCUGAAGGACGUGAUGAUGAACUGCUAGAGGCUCCGGAUAACGCCGACAACAUUGAGAUUAAGGUAGGCUUACUUUUCAAGGACCUGCCUACACUGAGACGAUGGCUACAGGAAUAUUCUGUGAACCGCAAGAGGCCGUUCAAGGUGAGACAUUCGUAUGCACAACGUCGUUACACUGUUGUGUGCGAGGUGUCGGAAUGUAAUUGGAGGGUAUGUGCCCGAAGGCAGAAGGACACCGGCAAGUUUAAGAUCACCAAAAUUGUAGGUCCACACACUUGUGCCCAGACAGAGCUGAGCUCUAAGCAUCGUCAGUUGACAUCUACCCUGAUUGCGAAAAGGAUAUUGGGGAUAUUGAAGGGCCAGCCAAACUUGAAGGUGAAGUCAAUUAUGACCAUGACUUCGGAGCUGUUUGGUUACAGGAUCAAAUAUGGGAAAGCAUGGAGGGCAAAGCAGCGAGCAUGGAAGAUGAUAUACGGGGAUUGGGAGGAGGGUUAUGAGAAGUUACCAACAUUGUUCAAUGCAAUCAAAGCAAAAAACCCAGGCAUGCAUUACGAGUACAUCCCCAAACCUAAUGAAUGGAGGAACGGCAGAGAGAUAUUUUUUCGUGCUUUCUGGUGUUUCUCGUAGUGCGUAGAGGCCUUCAGGCAUUGUCGUCCCGUGCUCUCUAUUGAUGGUACUUUUCUGCUUGGCAAGUAUAAGGGCACAUUGUUGGUUGCCAUAUCAUGCGACGCAGACAACGCACUGGUUCCUUUGGCAUUUGCUUUGGUGGAGAGAGAGAACAGAGAUAGUUGGUCUUGGUUCUUGCGGCUUGUACGCAUCCAUGUCGUAGGCCCUGGACGCGAGGUUGGUGUCAUAUCUGACAGACACCAAGGUAUUCUUAAUGCAGUGCAAGAGCAGAUUCCUGGCUACACACCCAUGCACCACAGAUGGUGCACUCGACAUCUAGCAGAAAAUCUUCUUCGAAAGGAUCAUAGCAAGGCUAACUUCCCCCUUUUUGAGGAGGUAUGUCGACAAUUGGAGGUUUCGUUUUUCGAGGAUAAGUUGAAGGAACUAGAAGAUGCAACAAAUGCUGAAGGUAAGAACUGGAUUGCUGGAUUGCUGAGGGAAUGCAUAGAUGGGCACCUAAACCAACAUCACACCUUAAUAAUGCAAAGGAACGUGCCCAUAGACAUGAGGUACAAUGCUUUGAUGAGGAGUUGGGUAAAUACGAGGUAACAACACUAGGCGGCAUAACUUCCGACGGUGAGGUGCGACCUUCGAGGACACAUGUCGUGUUACUUGAUGCAUUCUCGUGCGGUUGUGGUAAACCUAGACAAUACAGUCUCAUAGUCUCAUAGUCUUCAUCGAUGACAGCACGGUCUCCACAAUCGCAUCGAGGCGGUGAGUCCAUCCGUCUUUCUGUUGCUACCUCCUUCUCCGCAUCCGUCAUUGGUGGAGGAUUCGGGGGAGGAGGUACCCAACGCUUAAAACGCUCAUGACUAGUCCUUCCACUCAACCAAUUAACGAAAAGAAGAUAUCGAGGGUCAAAUUUAUCAGGAUCGUCGAUCCACUGGAAAAAGAAACACCUCUGAUGCCCCUAAAAUAAUGGAAAGGAAGCACUAUUACACAUCUACAAAAUAAUGAAUGCGAACAAAAUUAAGUGACAAGUCAUAAGCUACGUACGUCCAAACCGCCACAAAGGUAGUAGCAGCGAGCAGCCGUGUCUGGAUGUUGUGAUUGAUGUACCCAAGCCAGUCUGCCACAGUCACAGUUAGGCACGGGGAAUUCAGGAGGAACAUGAGCAUCCUUACUAGAUACGUCCGGAUAUAACUCCCGAGGACGACCUCUCUUCUGCCACAACUCCUCUCGGUACAUGUCUUUCAUCUAAUAAACGAUUAUAAUUAUCACUUGUACCUAAUAUGCUUUAUAAUAAGUUUACACAAACUAAUAAUCGAAAUGAUAAUAUAAUAGGUUUAUACAAACUAUUAAACUAUAUUUUGCUGCUGCUUAUGCAUCUUUUUGUUCUUGGAUGUAUUCAGCUUAUCUGCUUUGGUAGAUAAAAACUAGCUUUAGUCGUCGCUGGUAUUGGCGUGUCCAGGCUGCUUUUGGGAAUUGUCCCUAGUUGAUCUCUAUAGAUGACUGUUAGUCUUUCAGAUUACUUCUGGUUUGCUAUGUUCCUUCAGUUGGAUUUUAUAACACUGCGUAGCUGAUAAUGUGGUAGGCUUAUCGGCUUGCGGCUGUUGGUUUAGUCGGGGAUUUUGUAAGAACUGCGAUCGGUUUCUAUUUCUUAAUGAAAUAGGGGGUUUCCCGUUGUCAAAAAAAAACAAACUAUUAAACUAUGAGCAACUAUGAAACUAACAACCCAAUAUACAAAACGAAUCAGUUGGGCACCAUACCUUGGUCUACGAAGUGAACCAACUCAAAUCUUUGAAUCCAGCAAAUUUUGACGAAGUUUGGAAAUGAGAGGAAAUGUGCUGCUCUCGGCCAGCCGCGCGGCCGUUUUUAUAGGCAUUCGUAGCUCGGCGCCAAGAUCUGUGGCGCCGAGCUACGAGGCCGCGUCGCCACCACGUCGGCGACAGGUCAGCCCUAGGCGCAGGUAGCCGUUGCUGCCACGUCAUAGCUCGGCGCCAUAGGCUGUGGCGCCGAGCUGUGUUACCUCGGUGCCACAGCCUAUGGCGCCGAGCAUCGGGUCCAAACGUGCAAAUAAAAUUUCUGGGGGUCCAAAUGUAAAUUUGUGUCACAAAAGGGGCUAAAAAACAAAAAAUUCGGUACUAUGAACAUUGACAAAUGACUAUACUAAUGGUACAUGUGAAAGUGGAACACUAGUAAAAAUUGUUUUUGAUUCAGUCAAGGCUGAUAGCGUACUAAUGCAGAUUUUAAGUCAGAUAUAUCAUAUAUGUAAACUACUGACCAGGCUUUGUUGUAGUUUCCGUAACACUCAUACAUGUUUAUUUUUUGUGUAUUAAAUUGGUAGCUGAUUCUUUCAAGGACCUUGUUGGGGCGAAGGCGAAGACGCCACCCUUCGCUCGAUGCCUUCGCCGACUUCGCUACACCAACGGAGGCAAGACGACAGGCAGACUCACCCUUCGUCCCACACGUCGCCAGACGAAGACCUGUGACGAGGUCGUCUCAUCUUGCGACCUCGUCCAACUUGGAGGCCCACGUGUGAUCCGGCCCAUUGUAACAGGCCCUGCGUGGCCGCUGCGCAUUACGGGCCUAAUUUGUAAAGGUCUCCCUGUAAUUACGGUCUGUAACCCUGCUUUAUGGGAAUAUUCCGGGGGAUAACCUAGGUGCCUGAGGGCACAUGCGUCAUUAACACUGGACGCUGGGCACUCAGAUACCUAUAAAUACCCUCGCACAGUGCCCUUGAGAGG